UUACUUGGAUAACUGUGGUAAUUCUAGAGCUAAUACAUGCAAACAGAGCUCCGACCGGAGACGGAAGGAGCGCUUUUAUUAGAUCAAAACCAAUCGGUGGCGGUUUCGCCGUCAUCGUACAACUUGGUGAAUCUGAAUAACUUUACGCUGAUCGCACGGUCUCGCACCGGCGACGCAUCUUUCAAAUGUCUGCCUUAUCAACUGUCGAUGGUAGGUUCUGCGCCUACCAUGGUUGUAACGGGUAACGGGGAAUCAGGGUUCGAUUCCGGAGAGGGAGCCUGAGAAACGGCUACCACAUCCAAGGAAGGCAGCAGGCGCGCAAAUUACCCACUCCCGGCACGGGGAGGUAGUGACGAAAAAUAACGAUACGGGACUCAUCCGAGGCCCCGUAAUCGGAAUGAGUACACUCUAAACCCUUUAACGAGGAUCAAUUGGAGGGCAAGUCUGGUGCCAGCAGCCGCGGUAAUUCCAGCUCCAAUAGCGUAUAUUAAAGUUGUUGCGGUUAAAAAGCUCGUAGUCGAAUUUGUGUCCCGCGCCGCCGGUUCAUCGUUCGCGGUGUUAACUGGCGUUUCGCGGGACGUCCUGCCGGUGGGCUUAGCUCGAGAGGGCGGCCCAACUCAAUCCCGCCGCGGUGCUCUUCAUUGAGUGUCGAGGUGGGCCGGCACGUUUACUUUGAACAAAUUAGAGUGCUUAAAGCAGGCUAAAACUUCGCCUGAAUACUGUGUGCAUGGAAUAAUGGAAUAGGACCUCGGUUCUAUUUUGUUGGUUUUCGGAACCCCGAGGUAAUGAUUAAUAGG
rnacentral:rRNA from 1 species